rnacentral:lncRNA from 1 species
UUUUGUAUUUUUUUUUUCAGCAUCAAUUUCUUUUGUUUUUUAUUUGAUUUGCAUGUAUUUCUUUCGUUCCUCACCUUCCAAUCUUCUCUGAAUAAUGUUCUUCUUAGCUAUGGUAAACUCCCUCUGUUUAUUUUUUUCUUUUUCCAAAGCUUGAAUCUUUGGUGGAAGAGGAGUUGUUACCCAGUGUUGUUUUUGUAAGUUCAUAUGCAU